CCUACGGGAGGCUGCAGUGGGGGAUAUUGCACAAUGGGGGGAACCCUGAUGCAGCGACGCCGCGUGGGUGAAGAAGCGCCUCGGCGCGUAAAGCCCUGUCAGCAGGGAAGAAAAUGACGGUACCUGAAGAAGAAGCCCCGGCUAACUACGUGCCAGCAGCCGCGGUAAUACGUAGGGGGCAAGCGUUAUCCGGAUUUACUGGGGGUAAGGGGGGCGCAGACGGCGAUGCAAGCCAGGAGUGAAAGCCCGGGGCCCAACCCCGGGACUGCUCUUGGAACUGCGGGGCUGGAGUGCAGGAGGGGCAGGCGGAAUUCCUGGUGUAGCGGUGAAAUGCGUAGAUAUCAGGAGGAACACCGGUGGCGAAGGCGGCCUGCUGGACUGCAACUGACGUUGAGGCCCGAAAGCGUGGGGAGCAAACAGGAUUAGAUACCCCGGUAGUC
rnacentral:rRNA from 1 species